AGAAUAAGAGCUGGGCAAGACCGGUGCCAGCCGCCGCGGUAAUACCGGCAGCCCGAGUGAUAGCNNNUUUUAUUGGGCCUAAAGCGUCCGUAGCCGGCCGAACAGGUCCGUCGGGAAAUCCACCCGCUCAACGGGUGGGCGUCCGGCGGAAACCAGUCGGCUUGGGGCCGGGAGACCAGAGGGGUACGUCCGGGGUAGGAGUGAAAUCCUGUAAUCCUGGACGGACNNNCGGUUGCGAAAGCGCCUCUGGAGAACGGACCCGACGGUGAGGGACGAAAGCUAGGGUCUCGAACCGGAUUAGAUACCCGGGUAGUCCAAGCCGUAAACGAUGCUCGCUAGGNGNU
rnacentral:rRNA from 1 species